GUUGCGGACAGUGUCUGGUGGGUAGUUUGACUGGGGCGGUCUCCUCCCAAAGCGUAACGGAGGAGCACGAAGGUUAGCUAAUCCUGGUCGGACAUCAGGAGGUUAGUGCAAUGGCAUAAGCUAGCUUGACUGCGAGCGUGACGGCGCGAGCAGGUGCGAAAGCAGGUCAUAGUGAUCCGGUGGUUCUGAAUGGAAGGGCCAUCGCUCAACGGAUAAAAGGUACUCCGGGGAUAACAGGCUGAUACCGCCCAAGAGUUCAUAUCGACGGCGGGGUUUGGCACCUCGAUGUCGGCUCAUCACAUCCUGGGGCUGAAGUAGGUCCCAAGGGUAUGGCUGUUCGCCAUUUAAAGUGGUACGCGAGCUGGGUUUAGAACGUCGUGAGACAGUUCGGUCCCUAUCUGCCGUGGGCGCUGGAGAAUUGAGGGGGGGCUGCUCCUAGUACGAGAGGACCGGAGUGGACGCAUCACUGGUGUUCGGGUUGUCAUGCCAAUGGCACUGCCCGGUAGCUAAAUGCGGAAGAGAUAAGUGCUGAAAGCAUCUAAGCACGAAACUUGCCCCGAGAUGAGUUCUCCCUGAGACUUUAAGUCUCCUGAAGGAACGUUAAAGACGAUGACGUUGAUAGGCCGGGUGUGUAAGCGCAGCGAUGCGUUGAGCUAACCGGUACUAAUGAACCGUGAGGCUUAACCUUACAACGCCGAAG
rnacentral:rRNA from 1 species